UCUUAUUUGGCAAUGGCUCUUCUAAAGCUGGGAUUCAGUGAGUUCUGUUGCUAUGGAAUUGUAACACUUGUUGCUAGGGAGCUGUAACAUUCUCAGGACAAAUACCACUCCUCACAGUCACUUUUCUCACCGCUGACCUCUCAGCCAUCCCAGAACUGGAAGAAAUGUGCUCUCAGCAGUAAACGGUUUCUAACUAGAGGCUGUCCCUUUACAGAAAUUCAUAACAGCUCCCCUAGCUGGUGAGAUGGCUCCACAGCAAAGGUGCUGCCAUGGCGACGAUGGCCUGGGUUUCAUCAUCUGGUCCCACAUGGCGUAAGGAAAAACGACUCUCACAGCUUCUCUCCCUCCAUGCCUGUGCCUCCAGCUCUUGAGGAUCCAAAGCCCUCUUCUGGACUCCAUGGCCUCUUCGUCAGCUCCCGCCUCCAGUUCCUGUCCUGACUUCAUUUGAUGAUGAACUGUGAUCUGAAGUGUAAGCUGAAUAAACCCUUUCCUCCCCAA